UUAAGCGACUAAGCGUACACGGUGGAUGCCCUGGCAGUCAGAGGCGAUGAAGGACGUGCUAAUCUGCGAAAAGCGUCGGUAAGGUGAUAUGAACCGUUAUAACCGGCGAUGUCCGAAUGGGGAAACCCAGUGCAAUUCGUUGCACUAUCGUUAACUGAAUACAUAGGUUAACGAGGCGAACCGGGGGAACUGAAACAUCUAAGUACCCCGAGGAAAAGAAAUCAACCGAGAUUCCCCCAGUAGCGGCGAGCGAACGGGGAGCAGCCCAGAGUCUGAAUCAGCUUGUGUGUUAGUGGAACGGUCUGGAAAGUCCGACGGUACAGGGUGAUAGUCCCGUACACCAAAAUGCACAGGUUGUGAACUCGAAGAGUAGGGCGGGACACGUGGUAUCCUGUCUGAAUAUGGGGGGACCAUCCUCCAAGGCUAAAUACUCCUGACUGACCGAUAGUGAACCAGUACCGUGAGGGAAAGGCGAAAAGAACCCCGGCGAGGGGAGUGAAAAAGAACCUGAAACCGUGUACGUACAAGCAGUGGGAGCACCUUCGGGUGUGACUGCGUACCUUUUGUAUAAUGGGUCAGCGACUUAUAUUCUGUAGCAAGGUUAACCGUAUAGGGGAGCCGCAGGGAAACCGAGUCUUAACUGGGCGUUAAGUUGCAGGGUAUAGACCCGAAACCCGGUGAUCUAGCCAUGGGCAGGUUGAAGGUUGGGUAACACUAACUGGAGGACCGAACCGACUAAUGUUGAAAAAUUAGCGGAUGACUUGUGGCUGGGGGUGAAAGGCCAAUCAAACCGGGAGAUAGCUGGUUCUCCCCGAAAGCUAUUUAGGUAGCGCCUCGUGAACUCAUCUUCGGGGGUAGAGCACUGUUUCGGCUAGGGGGUCAUCCCGACUUACCAACCCGAUGCAAACUACGAAUACCGAAGAAUGUUAUCACGGGAGACACACGGCGGGUGCUAACGUCCGUCGUGAAGAGGGAAACAACCCAGACCGCCAGCUAAGGUCCCAAAGUCAUGGUUAAGUGGGAAACGAUGUGGGAAGGCACAGACAGCCAGGAUGUUGGCUUAGAAGCAGCCAUCAUUUAAAGAAAGCGUAAUAGCUCACUGGUCGAGUCGGCCUGCGCGGAAGAUGUAACGGGGCUAAACCAUGCACCGAAGCUGCGGCAGCGACGCUUAUGCGUUGUUGGGUAGGGGAGCGUUCUGUAAGCCUGCGAAGGUGGCCUGUGAGGGCUGCUGGAGGUAUCAGAAGUGCGAAUGCUGACAUAAGUAACGAUAAAGCGGGUGAAAAGCCCGCUCGCCGGAAGACCAAGGGUUCCUGUCCAACGUUAAUCGGGGCAGGGUGAGUCGACCCCUAAGGCGAGGCCGAAAGGCGUAGUCGAUGGGAAACAGGUUAAUAUUCCUGUACUUGGUGUUACUGCGAAGGGGGGACGGAGAAGGCUAUGUUAGCCGGGCGACGGUUGUCCCGGUUUAAGCAUGUAGGCGGAGGUUCCAGGUAAAUCCGGUACCUUUUAACGCUGAGGUGUGAUGACGAGGCACUACGGUGCUGAAGUAACAAAUGCCCUGCUUCCAGGAAAAGCCUCUAAGCAUCAGGUAACAUUAAAUCGUACCCCAAACCGACACAGGUGGUCAGGUAGAGAAUACCAAGGCGCUUGAGAGAACUCGGGUGAAGGAACUAGGCAAAAUGGUGCCGUAACUUCGGGAGAAGGCACGCUGGUGUGUAGGUGAAGUCCCUGCGGAUGGAGCUGAGACCAGUCGAAGAUACCAGCUGGCUGCAACUGUUUAUUAAAAACACAGCACUGUGCAAACACGAAAGUGGACGUAUACGGUGUGACGCCUGCCCGGUGCCGGAAGGUUAAUUGAUGGGGUUAUCCGUAAGGAGAAGCUCUUGAUCGAAGCCCCGGUAAACGGCGGCCGUAACUAUAACGGUCCUAAGGUAGCGAAAUUCCUUGUCGGGUAAGUUCCGACCUGCACGAAUGGCGUAAUGAUGGCCAGGCUGUCUCCACCCGAGACUCAGUGAAAUUGAACUCGCUGUGAAGAUGCAGUGUACCCGCGGCAAGACGGAAAGACCCCGUGAACCUUUACUAUAGCUUGACACUGAACAUUGAGCCUUGAUGUGUAGGAUAGGUGGGAGGCUUUGAAGCGUGGACGCCAGUCUGCGUGGAGCCAACCUUGAAAUACCACCCUUUAAUGUUUGAUGUUCUAACGUUGGCCCCUAAUCGGGGUUGCGGACAGUGUCUGGUGGGUAGUUUGACUGGGGCGGUCUCCUCCCAAAGAGUAACGGAGGAGCACGAAGGUUAGCUAAUCCUGGUCGGACAUCAGGAGGUUAGUGCAAUGGCAUAAGCUAGCUUGACUGCGAGCGUGACGGCGCGAGCAGGUGCGAAAGCAGGUCAUAGUGAUCCGGUGGUUCUGAAUGGAAGGGCCAUCGCUCAACGGAUAAAAGGUACUCCGGGGAUAACAGGCUGAUACCGCCCAAGAGUUCAUAUCGACGGCGGUGUUUGGCACCUCGAUGUCGGCUCAUCACAUCCUGGGGCUGAAGUAGGUCCCAAGGGUAUGGCUGUUCGCCAUUUAAAGUGGUACGCGAGCUGGGUUUAGAACGUCGUGAGACAGUUCGGUCCCUAUCUGCCGUGGGCGCUGGAGAAUUGAGGGGGGCUGCUCCUAGUACGAGAGGACCGGAGUGGACGCAUCACUGGUGUUCGGGUUGUCAUGCCAAUGGCACUGCCCGGUAGCUAAAUGCGGAAGAGAUAAGUGCUGAAAGCAUCUAAGCACGAAACUUGCCCCGAGAUGAGUUCUCCCUGAGACUUUAAGUCUCCUGAAGGAACGUUGAAGACGACGACGUUGAUAGGCCGGGUGUGUAAGCGCAGCGAUGCGUUGAGCUAACCGGUACUAAUGAACCGUGAGGCUUAACCUU
rnacentral:rRNA from 1 species